rnacentral:rRNA from 1 species
UGGAAGUAAAAAAUCGUAACAAGGUCUCCGUAGGUGAACCUGCGGAGGGAUCAUUACACAAAGAUAUGAAGGUAGGGUACUGGCAACAGUGCUCUGCUGAAAUAUUUUCACCCAUGUCUUUUGCGCACUUUUUGUUUCCUGGGCGAGUUUGCUCGCCACCAGGACCCCCAUAUGAACCUUUUUUGUUUUUGCACUCAGCGUCAGUACAAUAAUUUAAUCUAUUAAAACUUUCAACAACGGAUCUCUUGGUUCUGGCAUCGAUGAAGAACGCAGCGAAAUGCGAUACGUAGUGUGAAUUGCAGAAUUCAGUGAAUCAUCGAAUCUUUGAACGCACAUUGCGCCCUUUGGUAUUCCAAAGGGCAUGCCUGUUCGAGCGUCAUUUGUACCCUCAAGCUUUGCUUGGUGUUGGGCGUCUUAUUGUCUCUCCGUCUCGGGGAGACUCGCCUUAAAACAAUUGGCAGCCGGCCUACUGGUUUCGGAGCGCAGCACAAAUUUGCGCUUGCAAUCAGCCAAGGGCGGCAUCCAUGAAGCCUUUUUUCUCUCACAUUUGACCUCGAUCAGGUAGGAUCCGUCGUUGC